CCCUGCUCUGUGUUUGCCUUUGUGCUAACCCGCCUUUGUUAAUCCCAGCUCUGUUUCUCCCUGAAGGCUGCUGUCAACAAGACCCUGCUCUGGAUAAAUCCUCCGUGGUUCUGGCUUUUACCCUGCUGGCUGUCAGCAACCCUCUUCCUGGAGAACCCACUGUGGUUUAGCCUCCUGCUGAAUGGUAAAUACUUCAGUGAAUUUACCUCAGUCCAAGGACCGCUCUGGAUCCACAAGAUCAGAUUGCAAGAUCGCCUCUCGCUUCACCUGCCCUGCCUGUCCACCCUCCAACACUAUUCACCAUCUGGAGGAAAUUGCUCGCACAGCACGCCUGCCUGUCAACUGUGGCUUGCUCACUUCUCCUCAGAACCAACCCACUCAUCUACAAUGAGCCGAUCCCUAAAGGCAAAGUCAACUGUCACCACAAAAACUGACUUGGCUGAACAUGGCGGCCACUGCCUAAUCUUUUAGCCAUGAACGCAGCUGCCGCAUUCUUGCUGAAAUGGUUGAUGAGCGGUUAAAGAUGAAUAAAAAGCUGCAGUAC